UACGGAGGGUGCAAGCGUUACUCGGAAUUACUGGGCGUAAAGCGCACGCAGGUGGCUGAGCAAGUCGAUUGUGAAAGCCCUGGGCUUAACCUGGGAAUUGCAGUCGAAACUACUCGGCUAGAGUAUGGGAGAGGACAGUGGAAUUCCCGGUGUAGCGGUGAAAUGCGUAGAUAUCGGGAGGAACAUCAGUGGCGAAGGCGGCUGUCUGGCCCAAUACUGACACUCAGGUGCGACAGCGUGGGGAGCAAACAGG
rnacentral:rRNA from 1 species